rnacentral:rRNA from 1 species
AGUACGAGAGGACCGGAGUGGACGCAUCACUGGUGUUCGGGUUGUCAUGCCAAUGGCACUGCCCGGUAGCUAAAUGCGGAAGAGAUAAGUGCUGAAAGCAUCUAAGCACGAAACUUGCCCCGAGAUGAGUUCUCCCUGACUCCUUGAGAGUCCUGAAGGAACGUUGAAGACGACGACGUUGAUAGGCCGGGUGUGUAAGCGCAGCGAUGCGUUGAGCUAACCGGUACUAAUGAACCGUGAGGCUUAACCUUACAACGCCGAAGGUGUUU